GCAUAGCCCCGAUGGCAGUGAAAAUCCUUUUUGAACUUGCGAUCAGCAAGUUCAAAAAGAUUGCAACGUACAGCGGGAAAAAGC
rnacentral:sRNA from 1 species